GUCUCCUAUUUCUUUGUAACUUACAAAUUAAGAAUUAAAAGAUUGAAAUACUUUUUAUCUUACAAAAUUCCAAACACCUUUUCAAGCAAUUUAUAUCUUAUUUCUGUAAUAGUUUUAUCACCAGCCAAUGGGUAUGUGGCUUCAGACUCACAGGCACAGAAUACGAUAGUGGGAAGCAUCUGAUUCGCUUUACUCUACUUGGUACCUUUAGGACGUUCAGCCAGAGGUGAUUGGAGGGAUUUGCACGUCUACCACUCGUGUGUGUAUCUGUGAACCAUAUCUCCUUUAGUGCCUGCUUUUGAACGUUAUAUAAACAGAAUGAUGCUGCCUGUUUAUUUCUAUAAUUUUCUUCUUUUCCUUAGCAUGUGCUGUUCUUGGCAGCUUGCUUCUCCAUGUGAAUUUUGGAAAAGCUUCUGAAGUUCCCUUUAGUAAACACCAAGAGAACUAUUGCUGGGUCGUAUCGUAGUUGCAUGUUCAGUUCUCUAAGGCACUACCAAUCUGUUUUCUUUUCUUUUUUGUUUUUUUUUGAGACAGGGUCUCACUCUGUCACCUAGGCUGAAGUGCAGUGGUGUGAUCAUGGCUCACUGCAGCUUUGACCUUCCUGGGAUCAGGUGAUCCUCUCAGCUCAGCCUCCCGAGUAGCUAGGACUAUAGGCAUGCACCACCACGCCCAUCUAAUUUAUUGUAUUUUUAGUAGAGACCAUGGAUUUCGCCAUGCUUCCCAGGCUAGUCUUGAACUCCUGGGGUCAAGUGAUCCUCCCUCCUCGGCCUCCAAGUGCUGGGAUUACAGGUAUGAGCCACUGCAUCCAGCCCAACCUGUUUUCUAGAGUGACUGUUUUAUAGUUUUAAAGUCCCUCAUCCAUUUUGAGCUAUGUUUUUGGUGUAAUUUAUGUGGUUUAGGUCAAUGUCCAGUUGCUCCAGCACCAUUUGUUGUAAUUGUGUAAAAAAUCAGAUGAGCAUUUUUUUGUUGCUCUAUUUCUGGGUUCUCUAUUCUGCUCCAAUCAUCUUUGCAUCCAUGCCUCUGCCAAUAUAAUAUGGUCUAAUGACUACAGCUAUUAUUGUAAGCCUUAAGGAAAAAAUAAAACAGUCCCUAUUUUCAGAUGGCAAGAUGGUUUACACAGAAAACCCCAAGGUAUCUCCAAAAAAGAGCUCCUAGAACUGGUAAGUGAGUUCAGCAAGGUUGCUGGAUUCAAGAGUAAUACACAAAUGUCAAUCACAUUUUGCAUAUUAACGAUGAACAUAUGGAAAGCAAAAUUUAAAACACAAUGUCAUUUAUAAUUAAUUGCUCCAAAUAAAAUGAAAUGCCUAGAAUAUACACUUAAUAAAACAUGAAUAGAAUUUGUAUGUUGAAAAUUACAAAAUGCUGAUGAAAGAAAUCAAAGAAGAACUAAAUAAAUGGAGAGACAUACUGUACUUAUGAAUUGGAAGAUUCAGUAUAGUAAAGAUGUCAUUUCUCCCCAACUUGAUAAUAGUUGUAAUGAAAUUGAAUUAAUGAAUCAAAUAGAGUGAUUUCUCCCACUUUCUUCUUCUUCAUCCAGAUUGUUUUAGCUAUUCUUGGGCCUGCGCUUUUUUCAUAUAAAUUUUACAAUAAACUUACCUUUGUCUAUAAAAAAACCUUGUUGGGAUUUUGAUAGGAAUUUCAUUACAUCUGUAGAUCAAUUUGGGAAGAAAUGACAUGCUUACUAUACUGAAUCUUCCAAUUCAUGAAUUAGUAUGUCUCUCCAUUUAUAUAGGUCAUUUCUUAUAGGUUGAUUAUAGGUAUAUAGGUUGAUUUCUUUUGUCAGCAUUUUUUUAUUUUGUUGUGUUAUGUCCAUGGGUUUUAGUUGUAAAGGAGAGGACCUGGGGGAAAAGGAGCUACUUCAUCUUGGUGGAAUUGGAAGUCCUAUUACAGUUGUCUCCUCUUAUCCAUGCUUUUGCUUGGAAAGUUAGUUUCAGUUACUUGUGGUCAACAGUGGUCUGAAAAUAUUAAAUGGAAAAUUCCAUAAAUAAAGAAUUCAUAAGUUUUAAAUUUUGCACUGUUCUGAGUAGCAUGAUGAAAUCUUGCCCCUUUCUGCUCCAUCCCACCCAGGACGUGAAUCAUUUCUUUAUCCAGCAUAUCUACUCAGCAUAUGCUGCCUGACCACUAGUUACUUGGUAGUCCUCUUGGUUAUCAGACCAAAAAACUAGUAUAUAUAGCGUUUGGUACUAUGUGUGGUUUCAGGCAUCCUCUGGGGGUCUUGGAAUGUAUCUCUUGCAGGUAAGGAGGACUCUCUAUUGGCUUUUGAACUCUUCAAGGUCAGAGAUUUUGUCUGCUUUUUUUCUGCAACAUGAAGUCUAGCAUGCUGUCUGUCACAGUAGAUGGUUUAAUACAUGUCGGAUUAAUAAACAAGUAAUUGAUAUUUGUUGAGAAAAUAAUUUUGUGUUGGAUGCAGAGAAUAUGUAUGAGGUAUUUUUUCUACCCUUAGAGAACAAACUAUAUGACUGUGAAAACUUAAUGUGAAACUUACACGUUUAGUUUUGUGUAAUGUGGUUUUGUUUAGUGGGUAUUAGAAUGAAAUUUGAAAUCCAGUGGUCCUGGAUAUGAAUCUGGCCUCCAUUAAUUUACUAGCUAUAUGACCUUGGGAAAGUUCCUUAACUUCUCUGACACUAGGAUUUUCUCAUUUAAAAAAUUGGGUGCUGGCUGUAGUCACCUGUCAGGGUUUUUAUAAGGUUAAAUGGUAUAAUACAUGAAAAGUACUUGACUCUGUGCUUGACAUGUAGGAAGCCCUCAAAACUGGUAGUGACUAAAGAAAAUGAUAAGCAGCAUUACAGCACAGGUAAGUGAUAACUGGGUUACACAAAGUAUAACAGGAACGCCUAUGGAAACCUAAAGUUGUAGGGAAAGACUUUAUGGAGGAAGCAGGACUUGAUCUAGCCCUUAAAAAAGAACAACGCUAGCUGGGCACAG
rnacentral:lncRNA from 10 species